AUUGAACGCUGGCGGCAUGCUUUACACAUGCAAGUCGAACGGUAACAGGCCUUCGGGUGCUGACGAGUGGCGAACGGGUGAGUAAUGCAUCGGAACGUACCCAGAGGUGGGGGAUAACGCAGCGAAAGCUGUGCUAAUACCGAAUGUGAUCUGAGGAUGAAAGCGGGGGACCGAGCAGCAAUGUUUGGCCUCGCGCCUUUGGAGCGGCCGAUGUCGGAUUAGCUAGUUGGUGGGGUAAAGGCCUACCAAGGCGACGAUCCGUAGCUGGUCUGAGAGGACGACCAGCCACACUGGGACUGAGACACGGCCCAGACUCCUACGGGAGGCAGCAGUGGGGAAUUUUGGACAAUGGGCGCAAGCCUGAUCCAGCAAUGCCGCGUGCGGGAAGAAGGCCUUCGGGUUGUAAACCGCUUUUGGCAGGAACGAAACGGUGUCCGCUAAUACCGGGCGCUAAUGACGGUACCUGCAGAAUAAGCACCGGCUAACUACGUG
rnacentral:rRNA from 1 species